rnacentral:rRNA from 1 species
GACGAACGCUGGCGGCGUGCUUAACACAUGCAAGUCGAACGGAAAGGCCCUGCUUUUGUGGGGUGCUCGAGUGGCGAACGGGUGAGUAACACGUGAGUAACCUGCCCUUGACUUUGGGAUAACUUCAGGAAACUGGGGCUAAUACCGGAUAGGAGCUCCUGCUGCAUGGUGGGGGUUGGAAAGUUUCGGCGGUUGGGGAUGGACUCGCGGCUUAUCAGCUUGUUGGUGGGGUAGUGGCUUACCAAGGCUUUGACGGGUAGCCGGCCUGAGAGGGUGACCGGCCACAUUGGGACUGAGAUACGGCCCAGACUCCUAUGGGAGGCAGCAGGGGGGAAUAUUGCACAAUGGGCGGAAGCCUGAUGCAGCAACGCCGCGUGCGGGAUGACGGCCUUCGGGUUGUAAACCGCUUUCGCCUGUGACGAAGCGUGAGUGACGGUAAUGGGUAAAGAAGCACCGGCUAACUACGUG